AGCGGCGGAUGGGUGAGUAACACGUGGGGAACCUGCCCCUAAGUCUGGGAUACCAUUUGGAAACAGGUGCUAAUACCGGAUAAUAAAGCAGAUCGCAUGAUCAGCUUUUGAAAGGCGGCGUAAGCUGUCGCUAAGGGAUGGCCCCGCGGUGCAUUAGCUAGUUGGUAAGGUAACGGCUUACCAAGGCGACGAUGCAUAGCCGAGUUGAGAGACUGAUCGGCCACAUUGGGACUGAGACACGGCCCAAACUCCUACGGGAGGCAGCAGUAGGGAAUCUUCCACAAUGGACGCAAGUCUGAUGGAGCAACGCCGCGUGAGUGAAGAAGGUUUUCGGAUCGUAAAGCUCUGUUGUUGGUGAAGAAGGAUAGAGGUAGUAACUGGCCUUUAUUUGACGGUAAUCAACCAGAAAGUCACGGCUAACUACGUGCCAGCAGCCGCGGUAAUACGUAGGUGGCAAGCGUUGUCCGGAUUUAUUGGGUGUAAAGCGAGCGCAGGCGGAAAAAUAAGUCUAAUGUGAAAGCCCUCGGCUUAACCGAGGAACUGCAUCGGAAACUGUUUUUCUUGAGUGCAGAAGAGGAGAGUGGAACUCCAUGUGUAGCGGUGGAAUGCGUAGAUAUAUGGAAGAACACCAGUGGCGAAGGCGGCUCUCUGGUCUGCAACUGACGCUGAGGCUCGAAAGCAUGGGUAGCGAACAGGAUUAGAUACCCUGGUAGUCCAUGCCGUAAACGAUGAGUGCUAAGUGU
rnacentral:rRNA from 1 species